CCCUGUGGCUCAGUUGGUAGAGCAUGGUGUUUGCAACGCCUAGGUUGUGGGUUCGAUUCCCACAGGGG
rnacentral:tRNA from 1 species